AUUGAUGACAAACUUGAUGUUUUAAUAUGUUUGCCGAUAACUAGUUAGAUUGUCAUACAACUCGAUUUCACUGUAAAUUCUACUCUGGUUUCCAGCCUGGUAUCAGGGCUAAAACUCACAGUGAUACAAACAAACUUAGGUCUGGUUGCACAUGGAAUUUAGGUCUCAGCAGGUGGUCAACGGGCAGAGACAUUUCACACCAAGCCCGAAUAGGUCUGAAAGCAGCUUGCCUAUAAAUAUUUCACUCCGAGUCAGACAAAAGCUGGAUGGGAUGUGAGGCCACUUCAGACAAAAAGCAGAUAAAUUCCUGCUUAACAUGUACCUGAUGCUUUAUGAUUUCUGCCCAGGUUCAGAUUUCCUGGAUCAAAUGUUCCCAAGGCCUGUGAGGUCAUGUGGUUUCAGAGACAUAAGCUAAGCUUGGUGUAUAUUACAGAGAAGCCAUCCCAUCCGGGUGUGACCACUCCGAAGGGCAGGGCCCAUCUCUCCAGAAGUGUCGUCUUUAUUUUCCUCAGUUCUUCAUCUCCUUCCUUCAGCAUAAAGAAAGUGUCUGCUUCAACUGGUUUAUUCUGAGUGUUGUACAUUCUGAGUAAAAACAGAAAAGAAAAGCAGACUCAACUCCUUGGCAGAGGAGAGAGAAAUUCUUGAUUACAACCCCACCAAACUCCAUCUAGUGAUGGAAAAAAGAGACUGGUGAUGAUAUUGGGAAGAGACAGUGGACGCUGGACCAAAACACAAUAAAUCUUUACCAGGAGGGAUGAGAGCA
rnacentral:lncRNA from 1 species